rnacentral:rRNA from 1 species
UACGUAGGGUGCAAGCGUUAAUCGGAAUUACUGGGCGUAAAGCGUGCGCAGGCGGUGAUGUAAGACAGAUGUGAAAUCCCCAGGCUUAACCUGGGAACUGCGUGUGAUACUGGAUGGCUUGAAUUCGGGAGAGGGAUGCAGAAUUCCAGGUGUAGCGGUGAAAUGCGUAGAUAUCUGGAGGAAUACCGGUGGCGAAGGCGGCAUCCUGGACCGACAUUGACGCCGAAAACCGAAAGCUAGGGGAGCAAACGGG